GCAUGGUGAUUCCGCCAGAAGUUCUUUUAUCCUUGAGAAGACUUUUUGCUAUCCUAGGUUUUUUGUUAUUCCAGACAAAUUUGCAAAUUGCUCCUUCCAAUUCGUUGAAGAAUUGAGUUGGAAUUUUGAUGGGGAUUGCAUUGAAUCUGUAGAUUGCUUUUGGCAAGAUAGCCAUUUUUACAAUGUUGAUCCUGCCAAUCCAUGAGCAUGGGAGAUCUUUCCAUCUUCUGAGAUCUUCUUUAAUUUCUUUCUUCAGAGAUUUGAAGUUUUUAUCAUACAGAUCUUUCACCUCCUUAGUUAGAGUCACGCCAAGAUAUUUUAUAUUAUUUGUGACUAUUGAGAAGGGUGUUGUUUCCCUAAUUUCUUUCUCAGCCUGUUUAUUCUUUGUAUAGAGAAAGGCCAUUGACUUGUUUGAGUUUAUUUUAUAUCCAGCUACUUCACCGAAGCUGUUUAUCAGGUUUAGGAGUUCUCUGGUAGAAUUUUUAGGGUCACUUAUAUAUACUAUCAUAUCAUCUGCAAAAAGUGAUAUUUUGACUUCCUCUUUUCCAAUUUGUAUCCCCUUGAUCUCCUUUUGUUGUUGAAUUGCUCUGGCUAAUACUUCAAGUACUAUGUUGAAAAGGUAGGGAGAAAGUGGGCAGCCUUGUCUAGUCCCUGAUUUUAGUGGGAUUGCUUCCAGCUUCUCUCCAUUUACUUUGAUGUUGGCUACUGGUUUGCUGUAGAUUGCUUUUAUCAUGUUUAGGUAUGGGCCUUGAAUUCCUGAUCUUUCCAAAACUUUUAUCAUGAAUGGGUGUUGGAUCUUGUCAAAUGCUUUUUCUGCAUCUAACGAGAUGAUCAUGUGGUUUUUGUCUUUGAGUUUGUUUAUAUAAUGGAUUACAUUGAUGGAUUUUCGUAUAUUAAACCAUCCCUGCAUCCCUGGAAUAAAACCUACUUGGUCAGGAUGGAUGAUUGCUUUAAUGUGUUCUUGGAUUCGGUUAGCGAGAAUUUUAUUGAGGAUUUUUGCAUCGAUAUUCAUAAGAGAAAUUGGUCUGAAGUUCUCUAUCUUUGUUGGAUCUUUCUGUGGUUUAGGUAUCAGAGUAAUAGUGGCUUCAUAAAAUGAGUUGGGUAGAGUACCUUCUACUUCUAUUUUGUGAAAUAGUUUGUGCAGAAUUGGAAUUAGAUCUUCUUUGAAGGUCUGAUAGAACUCUGCACUAAACCCAUCUGGUCCUGGGCUUUUUUUGGUUGGGAGACUAUUAAUAACUGCUUCUAUUUCUUUAGGUGAUAUGGGACUGUUUAGAUGGUCAACUUGAUCCUGAUUCAACUUUGGUACCUGGUAUCUGUCCAGAAAUUUGUCCAUUUCGUCCAGGUUUUCCAGUUUUGUUGAGUAUAGCCUUUUGUAGAAGGAUCUGAUGGUGUUUUGGAUUUCUUCAGGAUCUGUUGUUAUGUCUCCCUUUUCAUUUCUGAUUUUGUUAAUUAGGAUUUUGUCCCUGUGCCCUUUAGUGAGUCUAGCUAAGGGUUUAUCUAUCUUGUUGAUUUUCUCAAAGAACCAACUCCUCGUUUGGUUAAUUCUUUGAAUAGUUCUUCUUGUUUCCACUUGGUUGAUUUCACCCCUGAGUUUGAUUAUUUCCUGCCGUCUACUCCUCUUGGGUGAAUUUGCUUCCUUUUUUUCUAGGGCUUUUAGAUGUGUUGUCAAGCUGCUAGUAUGUGCUGUCUCCCGUUUCUUCUUGGAGGCACUCAGCGCUAUGAGUUUCCCUCUUAGAAAUGCUUUCAUUGUGUCCCAUAGGUUUGGGUACGUUGUGGCUUCAUUUUCAUUAAACUCUAAAAAGUCUUUAAUUUCUUUCUUUAUUCCUUCCUUGACCAAGGUAUCAUUGAGAAGAGUGUUAUUCAGUUUCCACGUGAAUGUUGGCUUUCCAUUAUUUAUGUUGUUAUUGAAGAUCAGUCUUAGGCCAUGGUGGUCUGAUAGGAUACAUGGGACAAUUUCAAUAUUUUUGUAUCUAUUGAGGCCUGUUUUGUGACCAAUUAUAUGGUCAAUUUUGGAGAAGGUCCCGUGAGGUGCUGAGAAGAAGGUAUAUCCUUUUGUUUUAGGAUAAAAUGUUCUGUAGAUAUCUGUCAGGUCCAUUUGUUUCAUAACUUCUGUUAGUUUCACUGUGUCCCUGUUUAGUUUCUGUUUCCACGAUCUGUCCUUUGAAGAAAGUGGUGUGUUGAAGUCUCCCACUAUUAUUGUGUGAGGUGCAAUGUAUGCUUUGAGCUUUACUAAAGUGUCUCUAAUGAAUGUGGCUGCCCUUGCAUUUGGUGCGUAGAUAUUCAGAAUUGAGAGUUCCUCUUGGAGGAUUUUACCUUUGAUGAGUAUGAAGUGUCCCUCCUUGUCUUUUUUGAUAACUUUGGGUUGGAAGUCGAUUUUAUCCG
rnacentral:lncRNA from 1 species